rnacentral:tRNA from 1 species
GGAAACCUGAUCAUGUAGAUCGAACGGACUACUAAUCCGUUCAGCCGGGUUAGAUUCCCGGGGUUUCCGCCA